CGUGCUUAACACAUGCAAGUCGAGCGGUAAGGCCUUUCGGGGUACACGAGCGGCGAACGGGUGAGUAACACGUGGGUGAUCUGCCCUGCACUUCGGGAUAAGCCUGGGAAACUGGGUCUAAUACCGGAUAUGACCUCAGGUUGCAUGACUUGGGGUGGAAAGAUUUAUCGGUGCAGGAUGGGCCCGCGGCCUAUCAGCUUGUUGGUGGGGUAAUGGCCUACCAAGGCGACGACGGGUAGCCGACCUGAGAGGGUGACCGGCCACACUGGGACUGAGACACGGCCCAGACUCCUACGGGAGGCAGCAGUGGGGAAUAUUGCACAAUGGGCGAAAGCCUGAUGCAGCGACGCCGCGUGAGGGAUGACGGCCUUCGGGUUGUAAACCUCUUUCAGCAGGGACGAAGCGCAAGUGACGGUACCUGCAGAAGAAGCACCGGCUAACUACGUGCCAGCAGCCGCGGUAAUACGUAGGGUGCAAGCGUUGUCCGGAAUUACUGGGCGUAAAGAGUUCGUAGGCGGUUUGUCGCGUCGUUUGUGAAAACCAGCAGCUCAACUGCUGGCUUGCAGGCGAUACGGGCAGACUUGAGUACUGCAGGGGAGACUGGAAUUCCUGGUGUAGCGGUGAAAUGCGCAGAUAUCAGGAGGAACACCGGUGGCGAAGGCGGGUCUCUGGGCAGUAACUGACGCUGAGGAACGAAAGCGUGGGUAGCGAACAGGAUUAGAUACCCUGGUAGUCCACGCCGUAAACGGUGGGCGCUAGGUGUG
rnacentral:rRNA from 1 species